UGGGGUAUCGCCAAGCGGUAAGGCACCGGUUUGAUACCGGCAUUCCCUGGUUCGAAUCCAGGUACCCCAG
rnacentral:tRNA from 1 species